rnacentral:rRNA from 1 species
AGCUCAGCACUGGGUGUAAAGUGUGCGUAGGUGGGUUAGUAAGUCAGUGGUGAAAUCUUCGAGCUUAACUCGGAAACUGCCAUUGAUACUAUUAGUCUUGAAUAUUGUGGAGGUUAGCGGAAUAUGUCAUGUAGCGGUGAAAUGCUUAGAUAUGACAUAGAACACCAAUUGCGAAGGCAGCUGGCUACACAUAUAUUGACACUGAGGCACGAAAGCGUGGGGAUCAAACAGGAUUAGAUACCCUGGUAGUCCACGCCCUAAACUAUGGAUACUCGACAUACGCGAUACACAGUGUGUGUCUGAGCGAAAGCAUUAAGUAUCCCACCUGGGAAGUACGAUCGCAAGAUUGAAACUCAAAGAAAUUGACGG